UGCCAGCAGCCGCGGUAAUACGUAGGUGGCAAGCGUUAUUCGGAUUUAUUGGGCGUAAAGGGUCCGUAGGGGGGUUGUUAAGUCUGAUGUGAAAGCCCUCGGCACAACCGAGGAACUGCAUCGGAUACUGCCGGACUCGAGUACAGUAGGGGAGAGUGGAAUUCCUGGUGGAGCGGUGAAAUGCGUAGAUAUCAGGAGGAACGCCGGUGGCGAAAGCGACUCUCUGGACUGUAACUGACGCUGAGGUGCGAAAGCCAGGGGAGCAAACGGGAUUAGAUA
rnacentral:rRNA from 1 species